rnacentral:rRNA from 1 species
UACAGAGGUCCCGAGCGUUGUUCGGAUUCAUUGGGCGUAAAGGGUGCGUAGGCGGCGGGGCAAGUCUGAUGUGAAAUCCCGGGGCUCAACCCCGGAACUGCAUUGGAUACUGCCUUGCUCGAGUACUGGAGAGGGAACUGGAAUUUACGGUGUAGCAGUGAAAUGCGUAGAGAUCGUAAGGAAGGCCAGUGGCGAAGGCGAGUUCCUGGACAGUUACUGACGCUGAGGCACGAGGGCCAGGGGAGCAAACGGG